ACGUAGGGGGCAAGCGUUGUCCGGAAUUAUUGGGCGUAAAGCGCGCGCAGGCGGUCAUUUAAGUUUGGUGUUUAAUCCCGGAGCUCAACUCCGGGUCGCACUGAAAACUGGGUGACUUGAGUACAGAAGAGGAGAGUGGAAUUCCACGUGUAGCGGUGAAAUGCGUAGAUAUGUGGAGGAACACCAGUGGCGAAGGCGACUCUCUGGGCUGUAACUGACGCUGAGGCGCGAAAGCGUGGGGAGCAAACAGGAUUAGAUACCCUGGUAGUCCACGCCGUAAACGAUGAGUGCUAGGUGUUAGGGGUUUCGAUACCCUUGGUGCCGAAGUUAACACAUUAAGCACUCCGCCUGGGGAGUACGGUCGCAAGACUG
rnacentral:rRNA from 1 species